AGCUUUGCGCAGUGGCAGUAUCAUAGCCAAUGAGGUUUAUCUGAGGCACGAUUAUUGCUAAUUGAAAACUUUUCCCUAGCUCAAGGGUGGAGAACAGGAACUCAUCUUGGGAAGACUCAGGUAUGCUAAGCCCUUAGAGU